rnacentral:rRNA from 1 species
CCUACGGGAGGCAGCAGUGGGGAAUUUUGGACAAUGGGCGCAAGCCUGAUCCAGCAAUGCCGCGUGCAGGAAGAAGGCCUUCGGGUUGUAAACUGCUUUUGUACGGAACGAAACGGUCUGGGUUAAUACCCUGGGCUAAUGACGGUACCGUAAGAAUAAGCACCGGCU